AGGAAGGUAGUGUAGUUAACACCUGCAUUAUUUGACGUUACCUACAGAAGAAGCACCGGCUAACUCCGUGCCAGCAGCCGCGGUAAUACGGAGGGUGCGAGCGUUAAUCGGAAUUACUGGGCGUAAAGCGCAUGCAGGCGGCCUGUUAAGUCAGAUGUGAAAGACCCGGGGCGUUAACCUCGGAAUUGCAUUUGUAAACUGGCAGGCUAGAGUCUUGUAGAGGGGGGUAGGAAUUUCAGGUGUAGCGGUGAAAUGCGUAGAGAUCUGAAGGAAUACCAGUGGCGAAGGCGGCCCCCUCGGACAAAGACUGACGCUCAGAUGCGAAAGCGUGGGGAGCAAACAGGAUUAGAUACCCUGGUAG
rnacentral:rRNA from 1 species